rnacentral:rRNA from 1 species
CAUCCUCCAAGGCUAAAUACUCCUGACUGACCGAUAGUGAACCAGUACCGUGAGGGAAAGGCGAAAAGAACCCCGGCGAGGGGAGUGAAAAAGAACCUGAAACCGUGUACGUACAAGCAGUGGGAGCCCCACCACCAAAGCAUUCUCUGGUGUUGAAGGCCCUGCAAAGCAGCAUCGCGGUGGCGGAGCGUCGUUUGCGACGCCCAACACACAAAACAAGCGGUGAAUGCUUUGGGGUGGGGUGACUGCGUACCUUUUGUAUAAUGGGUCAGCGACUUAUAUUCUGUAGCAAGGUUAACCGAAUAGGGGAGCCGGAGGGAAACCGAGUCUUAAUUGGGCGUUAAGUUGCAGGGUAUAGACCCGAAACCCGGUGAUCUAGCCAUGGGCAGGUUGAAGGUUGGGUAACACUAACUGGAGGACCGAACCGACUAAUGUUGAAAAAUUAGCGGAUGACCUGUGGCUGGGGGUGAAAGGCCAAUCAAACCGGGAGAUAGCUGGUUCUCCCCGAAAGCUAUUUAGGUAGCGCCUCGUGAAUUCAUCUCCGGGGGUAGAGCACUGUUUCGGCUAGGGGGCCAUCCCGGCUUACCAACCCGAUGCAAACUGCGAAUACCGGAGAAUGUUAUCACGGGAGACACACGGCGGGUGCUAACGUCCGUCGUGAAGAGGGAAACAACCCAGACCGCCAGCUAAGGUCCCAAAGUCAUGGUUAAGUGGGAAACGAUGUGGGAAGGCCCAGACAGCCAGGAUGUUGGCUUAGAAGCAGCCAUCAUUUAAAGAAAGCGUAAUAGCUCACUGGUCGAGUCGGCCUGCGCGGAAGAUGUAACGGGGCUAAACCAUGCACCGAAGCUGCGGCAGCGACGCUGAUGCGUUGUUGGGUAGGGGAGCGUUCUGUAAGCCUGUGAAGGUGUGUCGUGAGGCAUGCUGGAGGUAUCAGAAGUGCGAAUGCUGACAUAAGUAACGAUAAAGCGGGUGAAAAGCCCGCUCGCCGGAAGACCAAGGGUUCCUGUCCAACGUUAAUCGGGGCAGGGUGAGUCGACCCCUAAGGC